GAUUUGCACAUGCCACAUUUGUUGUGCAGAUUGUGUCUGACACAGUGGAGACCUGACAGAAGUGACCUUAUAAAGAGUGGCUAUUGGCCAGGAACUGUAAAUGCUGAGACAUUGUUUUCAGUUGGUGUCUUCAGCACAUUUGAAGAAAUGAAAACUGUUGCUCCCAGUUUGUCCAGGCAAGCUUUUUUGCAGAUGUUGGAGAGGAGAACUACUCAUUGGAAGGGCUGGGAAAAUACAUGGAGACGUAUUCCAGAGAAGCUUCCUGGAGUAUACAUUCUGCCAGUUCCAGUGUGACAAUAUGGCCUGUGUUGAACAGUUCACCUGCCCUGCAUGUACACCAAACAUGCUGGCUCUCUGUGCAGAUGGCAACCGACAGUCAAAGGGUCAGAGGAGCCGUAUUUUGAUGGCACUUUCAUUUCAAAGGACAGUGACGUACAACAUUUUGUUGAGGACGUCCAGAGCAAAGUUAAAAGUACUGCUGGCAGAGGAAUCUGUGGAGCCAGUUAGUUGUCUGCUGCACGAGAGACUCCCCGAAGAGCAAGCAAUCUGGACGAAGAGGGCCUUGAAGUCGCCGUUUGAAGACAUGGAGUGCUGCUCAAGGCUCUCAAUAUGUACAGGGGGGAAAUAUUUGCCUAUCCCCUUUUCUUGCAGAAGGAGCUCCAGGCAGCCACAGAUAUUGCGUGCAAAUACUGGCCCUACCUGGAGAAGUUGGCAGUGUCCAUGAUAGACCUCAGACCUUUGCUACAGAUGAGUCCAUUCCUUUCUGUGAUGCAUGCUAGGGCCCAUUCCACCAAGUGUGAGAUCAAAUGGAGUGGCAGGAAUCAGGAGGGUGCUGGAACAACUGCAGGGGAGGAGGUGGAAAUGGUGAACAUCUAUCUUUCUCCAUGUGCUCUCACGACCAAGUACAUGACAAAAUCUGCCCGGAAUGACAUGCUUACGAUCCACACCAUUGGUUGGAACCGACGGAAGCAGGAUGGCCUUCAUCUUACAUUAUCCAGCAGAUAUCUCAAGGUCUCUGGUCUGGAGUGCUGAAUAUCUGACCUGUGG